rnacentral:rRNA from 1 species
AUGCUCAUCGACGACUACUACAACAACAUGAAGAAGAAGAUUACCGACGACGAGCACAAGCGCUGGACCAUCCUGCCUCUGUCCAUGAGGCACAUCGAGUACGCGGCAAAGGACGCCUACGCAGUGAUGGUGCCGGUAGCGGACACAUGUGUGUACGCAGAAGGUCUAGAGCUCACCAACACCGAGUGGCGCAGCAUGCUCGGGUGCCUGAUGAUACCCAACAGGGGUUUCAGCCGCCAUUUCUUCAUCGCCUCACAACCGCAGAUCUACAGGAAAGUUGGAAACUGCCAUCCACAGUAA